AGAAGAAAGAAACUACCGAUUUGGACUUGAGGAACCCAGCACCGGGCCGUUUAGCCAUUUUGCAAGGGCAGAACGGCACGGGAUGACUGGUGAGGACGAUCACAGAGAUGAUCUAACCUGAAACCUCUGAGCAUAAAUGCUGUCCUCCUCUUAAAAAGGAGGGUGGAGAGGAGGGCCUGAUUCAUGUCGUACACACUAGCAGGC